GUCUUUUUAGUCUAAUGGUAUGAUUUAUUUUCUGGGCAAAUAAGCUCUAGGUUCGAUUCCUAGAAGAGACA